UGUGUUUUUGGUGAGUUUAAGUCGGCAAAAAUACACGAAACUGCCCUAAAACACAUUUUUACCGACUAAAGAUAAGACAGAAGGUAGGCCACCACAUCACUGUCUUUUGGACAACAUUCAAGUUCAGCUGGCAACAUGUCAUUUAACAACCGACAGAUGUUGAAGCCCUCCAAUAAUGGAGGAAUAAUGGAUUUCUUCAAGAGCCAGAAAUCCAACCAGACAGAGGAAAGCAGUCCAACACCACAACCUGCUGCAGCGGUUUGUCAUUUAUUUUAAAGCUGUUUUUGGCAAAUAAUAAUCUCUGACAGUUUACACUGACA